rnacentral:rRNA from 1 species
UACGUAGGGUGCAAGCGUUGUCCGGAAUUAUUGGGCGUAAAGAGCUCGUAGGCGGUCUGUCACGUCGGCUGUGAAAACCCGGGGCUCAACCCCGGGCCUGCAGUCGAUACGGGCAGACUAGAGUGCGGUAGGGGAGACUGGAAUUCCUGGUGUAGCGGUGAAAUGCGCAGAUAUCAGGAGGAACACCGGUGGCGAAGGCGGGUCUCUGGAACGCAACUGACGCUGAGACGCGAAAGCGUGGGGAGCAAACAGG